AUAGGAGACAAGAAGGCAUCUUCUUGUUUUUAAAAGACCUAGCAAUAGGUAUGCUUAGGGAGGAGCUUGCGUCACAUUAGUUAGUUGGUGGGGUAAAGGCCUACCAAGACUAUGAUGUGUAGCCGGGCUGAGAGGUUGAACGGCCACAUUGGGACUGAGACACGGCCCAAACUCCUACGGGAGGCAGCAGUAGGGAAUUUUCGGCAAUGGAGGAAACUCUGACCGAGCAACGCCGCGUGAACGAUGAAGUAUUUCGGUACGUAAAGUUCUUUUAUUAGGGAAGAAUAAAUGAUGGAAAAAUCAUUCUGACGGUACCUAAUGAAUAAGCCCCGGCUAACUAUGUGCCAGCAGCCGCGGUAAUACAUAGGGGGCAAGCGUUAUCCGGAAUUAUUGGGCGUAAAGGGUGCGUAGGCGGUUAAAUAAGUUUAUGGUCUAAGUGCAAUGCUCAACAUUGUGAUGCUAUAAAAACUGUUUAGCUAGAGUAAGAUAGAGGCAAGUGGAAUUCCAUGUGUAGUGGUAAAAUGCGUAAAUAUAUGGAGGAACACCAGUAGCGAAGGCGGCUUGCUGGGUCUUUACUGACGCUGAGGCACGAAAGCGUGGGGAGCAAACAGGAUUAGAUACCCUGGUAGUCCACGCCGUAAACGAUGAGUACUAAACGUUGGGUAAAACCAGUGUUGAAGUUAACACAUUAAGUACUCCGCCUGAGUAGUACGUACGCAAGUAUGAAACUUAAAGGAAUUGACGGGACUCCGCACAAGCGGUGGAUCAUGUUGUUUAA
rnacentral:rRNA from 1 species